rnacentral:rRNA from 1 species
AGAGUUUGAUCAUGGCUCAGAACGAACGCUGGCGGCAUGCCUAACACAUGCAAGUCGAACGAACCUUUCGGGGUUAGUGGCGCACGGGUGCGUAACGCGUGGGAAUCUGCCCUUAGGUACGGAAUAACUCAGGGAAACUUGAGCUAAUACCGUAUGAAGUCUUCGGACCAAAGAUUUAUCGCCUAAGGAUGAGCCCGCGUUGGAUUAGCUAGUUGGUGGGGUAAAGGCCCACCAAGGCGACGAUCCAUAGCUGGUCUGAGAGGAUGAUCAGCCACACUGGGACUGAGACACGGCCCAGACUCCUACGGGAGGCAGCAGUGGGGAAUAUUGGACAAUGGGCGAAAGCCUGAUCCAGCAAUGCCGCGUGAGUGAUGAAGGCCUUAGGGUUGUAAAGCUCUUUUACCCGGGAAGAUAAUGACUGUACCGGGAGAAUAAGCCCCGGCUAACUCCGUGCCAGCAGCCGCGGUAAUACGGAGGGGGCUAGCGUUGUUCGGAAUUACUGGGCGUAAAGCGUACGUAGGCGGCUUUGUAAGUUAGAGGUGAAAGCCCGGGGCUCAACCCCGGAAUUGCCUUUAAGACUGCAUCGCUUGAAUCGCGGAGAGGUGAGUGGAAUUCCGAGUGUAGAGGUGAAAUUCGUAGAUAUUCGGAAGAACACCAGUGGCGAAGGCGGCUCACUGGACGCGUAUUGACGCUGAGGUACGAAAGCGUGGGGAGCAAACAGGAUUAGAUACCCUAGUAGUCC